GACGAACGCUGGCGGCGUGCUUAACACAUGCAAGUCGAACGGAAAGGCGCGGCGCUUGUUGGGCGCUCGAGUGGCGAAAGGGUGAGUAACACGUGUGUAACCUGCCCUUGACUUUGGGGUAACUUUAGGGAAAUCGGGCUCAUACCGCGUAGGACCUCCUGCGGCAUGGUUGGGGUUGGAAAGUUUCGGCGGUUGGGGAUGGAAUCGCGGCUUAUCAGCUUGUUGGUGGGGUAGUGGCUUACCAAGGCUUCGACGGGUAGCCGGCCUGAGAGGGUGACCGGCCACAUUGGGACUGAGAUACGGGCCAGAGUGAUACGGGAGGCAGCAGUGGGGAAUAGUGCACAAUGGGCGGAAGCCGGAUGCAGCAACGCCGCGUGCGGGAUGACGGCCGUCGGGUAGUAAACCGCUUGCGCCUGGGAAGAAGAGUGAGUGACGGUAAUGGGUAAAGAAGCACCGGCUAACUACGUG
rnacentral:rRNA from 1 species